rnacentral:rRNA from 1 species
AACCGCAUGGUUCAAGGAUGAAAGACGGUUUCGGCUGUCACUUACAGAUGGACCCGCGGCGCAUUAGCUAGUUGGUGAGGUAACGGCUCACCAAGGCGACGAUGCGUAGCCGACCUGAGAGGGUGAUCGGCCACACUGGGACUGAGACACGGCCCAGACUCCUACGGGAGGCAGCAGUAGGGAAUCUUCCGCAAUGGACGAAAGUCUGACGGAGCAACGCCGCGUGAGUGAUGAAGGUUUUCGGAUCGUAAAGCUCUGUUGUUAGGGAAGAACAAGUGCAAGAGUAACUGCUUGCACCUUGACGGUACCUAACCAGAAAGCCACGGCUAACUACGUGCCAGCAGCCGCGGUAAUACGUAGGUGGCAAGCGUUGUCCGGAAUUAUUGGGCGUAAAGGGCUCGCAGGCGGUUUCUUAAGUCUGAUGUGAAAGCCCCCGGCUCAACCGGGGAGGGUCAUUGGAAACUGGGAAACUUGAGUGCAGAAGAGGAGAGUGGAAUUCCACGUGUAGCGCUGAAAUGCGUAGAGAUGUGGAGGAACACCAGUGGCGAAGGCGACUCUCUGGUCUGUAACUGACGCUGAGGAGCG